rnacentral:lncRNA from 1 species
UGGGGUUUAGGGCAAUAAGUUUGACUAUUUGGGAGAAAGUGAACAUUAAAGGAGAAGGGGGAAAAUGGCACUUGUCAAAAGAAGGAAGUAGAGGGAAGGAGAAGGUGGGUGAUGCGAGAUUCAUGCAUGGAACAUGCAACAACAUAAUAUGUAUGAGAAAUCACACCAUGCACAUGAUGACAUGAUGAAAUGCAAAAAUAAAAGGAGCAAGCAAAAAUGAAACACACGGAGAGACCCGGAACCUAUGGAAGUCUUCUCGAGCAUCGGUCUCGGGGCGUUACAACACUCCACCACUACGAGAGGAUCUCGUCCCGAGAUCUAGAAUGGCACUGGAGGGAAACGGAAGAGGAAGAGGAGAGGUAAAACUAAGUUGCUUCUUUGACAAACGAGUGAAACCACGAACCUUGAGAGGUUGAGCAAUUUAAAAGAAAGAGUAGAACAGAGAUGAACGAGAUUGCAAACAAUCCGUUAGAAAAGAGGAACAAGGAACAUUAUGGGAACUUGAAGGUUGCAAAGGCAUGAAUCAAGAGUUUAAUGGACAAGAUAGAAUUCGAAACCACUCCGGUUAAAACAAGAUGAGAGAGGAAGAAUUCGGGCAGCACUCCGGUUGAACAUGGAAGGAAUUGAACAUGAACUUGACAAGAUGAGAGGAUACUUGAUGAAAUGAACAGCACACUGCCUCCGAAACUAUUGAAAGAAUGGCACAAGGGUAAGAAAGAUUUCAGGCAGCACUCCAGUUGAACAUGGAAGGAAAACUUGAUAAAAUGAGAGAACUCGAAUGAGAACACGACACUCCGGCUAAACGGAUAAGCAAGGAAAAUUACAUGAUAAUUUACAAAAUGAGAUGAUGGGUCGAAGAGAGUAACAUCACAAUGCCUCUGUAACCAACGAAUAGAAGUAGAUCAUUGGAAUAAAGGGACGCAGAAGAAAAUGACAACUUCUACCACAAUUGAAUUUGGAAGAGCCUCCUUAAAAAGAAGGAUUGAACGGAGUUGUUGGAAAACCAACAACGAAAAGAAUAAGCUUGUAGUGGACUUAUUGAAACAUCUCAACAUUAUGAGGUGACAACCGGCCACUAACGGAAACAAUUGCUUGAGAUUAACGAAGAGAUGAAAGCUUGUUCCAUCAAGAUGGAAAAGAGAUAACUUGGGUCAUUAAUAAGCACCAAAAUAGCAACAUUCCUUAGGGAAGGCUUUAGGUGAAAUCUAUAGCAAGAUAACUCCAAUGAAGAGAUUGACGGUUGAAAAGAUCUCUUGAACAAAGAGAAAAAGAUGGAUUUAAAUAUGUCACUCUUGAAAACUUGUGAAUCAUGAAACGCGAAGGGAAAUUAUCAAGAAUGACCUAACACCACCUCAGAAGAUAAGGUAGAAAGAAUUGCACUUUGGAAUGCAAGAUGAAGAAUACUUGAACUCCUCAAAACAAGACAUGUGUUGAGCACCAUGUUUAUUUUAGAGUAUAGCUUGGAGGGUCAUAACUUCGAGAGAAAUCUUAAAGAACAAUUGAAGGAUGAAAGGAAUCCUUGACGAACCACCAUGUAGAGCUUCCAUGAAAAACUCCGGUAAAAGAAGGAUGAUGAAAAGAAAGAGAAGUUGAAAACACAAGGUGAAGCCUUGCAAUGAUUUAGAUGGAGCUUCGCGAUGAUAAUGCGGAAAACUUGGAACUCCGGAAAAGAAAGAUGAACAACAGAAACCGAGAAUUUAUUCAUCAUGAACAAACUCCGAAAGAAGGAAUUAAUCACUUGGAUGAAACAAGAACAAGAAUUAUGUUAUGCGUAUCCUUCACCAAUUUAAAUUGAUGACAAGCAACGGAUUUGGCAUACUAAUUAUUCUUGUAGAAAGGAUUAAGAGAGAUAUAGCGCAAACUUGAGAAGGUCUUCAACGAACCACCGGUAGGAUUUUGAAAGAAUGAAUGAAUUGAUAUUAUAACAAAGAAAGAGAACUCUUGAACGAACCACCGUAAGAAUUGAAAAUGAACGUAGCAAAGGCACAAUUCACCGGAAAGAAUUGGAAAACGAAUGAAGAUACUUGAGGGAAUUUAGAUACAUGAGAACGAAGAGAUCAUGAACUGAUUAGAGGAUAUUUGAACGAUGCACCGGAAGAAUAUGGAGAAUGAUAGCUACACGCUGAGAAUGAGGAAUUAUGACAUGAUGGCCUUCGGAGGAAAGAAAUAGAAACAACUCAUGAGAUGCUCCAGAUGGUAAGAAAAGAAUUGUCACAAUCAAAACAAUUAUGAGGAUAGCAUGAAGCUAGAACCAUGAAUCUUCAAGAGAACGGACAAGAUUUAAGAGAAAUCCUUCUUCGGUCUUCAUAUGUUGAGAAAGAAGAUGAGACCCACCAUAACAAUUGUUGAUGCACUCUGGAAUGAAAAUUGGAAAGGUUGAACCAACGAUGAAAAGAAUUUGAAAGAUCUUGGAGAAAGACAUAUGACUGAUGAUAACCCAUUCUUACGUCAAACUUGGAAAUGAAUUUGAGAAUGGCUCCAGAAAAUUAGAAGAGUCAGGUAAGAUCCUGGGAAAAGACCUGUGGGUUAGGGCCCACUCAAAAGGAAACACCGUUGAACGAUUGAUUUAAAAGAGAGAUUGCACCGGUUGAAUUAAAUGGCUUGAAUGAGAUAACAAUCUCCAAAUAGCUUGAACGGAUUAAGAAUCGAAACACAAAUCUUCUGAGAUAUCUUCAACACUCUAGAACAAUUGAAUAGCAAGAGGUGAGUGAUUGAGAGGUGCACCGGCAUGAGAAAGCAUUUGACACGAGGAAAGGAAUAUGAUGAAUAUCGAAAGCUUGAAUGGGACCCACCGGAGAAGAAUACGAGAAUGAAGAAAGAUGAACUUGAAGCUCAUGAGCAUCUUCACGAAGGAUCGCUGGAUCAAAACAUUGAUUGAAAAGAAUGAAGAGACUUCACAUAAAUAAAUGGAUACUUGAUUAAAAUAAAAGAGUCCUUGAAGAAAAGGGGUGGGAGGGUGGGGAAAAACAAAGACAACUUGGGAUGAACGAAACAAACACCAUUGAGAAAACUUAGAAUUUAUCUUGCGGAUGGGGAGAAUGAUGGGAUCCACUUGAAGAGAAGCACACCGGUUGGAAAGGAGUUGACAUGACAAAGUCAAUGAUCAAAAGGAUUAGUAUUCACAUAGCAAUAGGAGAACACCGUUUAGGAAAGUUAUGGAUUCAACAUUUGACAUCGAAGCAACUCGAAUACCACAAAUAACACAAAACAAAGGAUUUGGCUUGCAGAAUAAGCCGGAACAAAUACAUAUGAUAGAGAUUUACCCAAUCUCAUAUCAUGCAUCUGUCGAAAAGAUAUUCUAGGAGCUACUUGAAUUCCCACCUAUAAACUCCCGAAACUUUCUGGUUAUGCAAUCUGGUGUUGGGGAUACAGGGGAAGCAAUAUAUCUCACCCAAACUAGCAAUCCCUACAUCCAGCUGUAUCCAUCCGUCAACACAUAACCAAGAAACCUUCGGAAAUCGUGUACCUCAACCUUCAAAAAGCAUCCGUUAUACGAGUCAUGGCAAUACUCCCGUACUCACCUCAGUACUGGGUUAUCGGGGUUAUCUCACCAACAACUACAUAAAAGAGAUUUUCGAUGUCGGCGUACUAAACUCAGGUAUUCCAGAACUGCAACGAUAAAAUUAUGACGACAACACCUCAGAGCUCAACUUCCCGGGACACCUCCACUAAACCCCUGCUGACGGGAGGCACCAAGACAAUGUUGUCAUCAUAAAACCAUCGGAAUGAUUCCAAGAUACCCGCGUGAUCCUAAAGAAAAUUUUAGUGAAAUUUGAGAAGAGAAGAGUCAAAACUCUAUGUCAGGAUGCCUUACCAGAGCGACGAAGAGACUGGGGAGUAAAAAGAAUUCCUAACUCUCUGAUAUAUAUAAUCCUAAAUGACUCAAAACAUUUUUCUAGACACAACUCGGCCACUAAAAACGAUCAAGCAGUGGGGCUCCUAAGGUCGGGGAAGGCUCUGAUUACCAACUUGUAACGCCCUCGAUGCGGCUAUAUCUCCCACGUGUCGAAGCACGACUUAGAGGCAUAACCGCAUUGAAAGAAAUGUCGCAAGUGAGGUAAUCUUCACACAACCCAUGUAAUCAUAAGGGAAAGAGAUACAUAGUUGGCUUACAAUCGCCACUUCACACAAUUGUAUGAAUAAAGCAUUACAUCAUCCAGAUACAAUCAAGGUCCGACUACGGAACCAAAAUAAAAGAAGAACCCCAAAUGCGACAAAGGUCCCCGAUCGACCCCAACUGGGCUCCACUACUGAUCAACUAGAACGAAACAACACAAAGGGCAAGAUCUUCAUCGAGCUCCUCCUUGAGCUUGGUUGCGUCACCUGCUCGGUAACAUAGGCACCUGCAAACUGGUUUUGGAAGUAUUUGGUGAGCCACGAGGACUCAGCAAUCCCAUUACCAUGGGUAUCAAGACUAGCAAAGCUUAAUGGGAAAGGAAGGGGUAAAGUGGUGAGGUUGCAGCAGCGACUAAGCAUGAUAUGGUGGCUAACAUACGCAAAUGAGAGCGAGAAGAGAAACAAGUGGAACGGUCGUGAAGCUAGCAAUGAUCAAGAGGUGAUCCUGAACACCUACUUACGUCAAUCAUAACACAGAAACCGUGUUCACUUCCCGGACUCCGCCGAGAAGAGACCAUCACGGCUACACACACGGUUGAUGCAUUUUAAUUCGGAUCUGGUGUCAAGUUAUCUACAACCGGACAUUAACAAAUUCCCAUCUGCCACAUAACCGCGGGCACGGCUCUCGAAAGUUUAUACCCUGCAGGGGUGUCCCAACUUAGCUCAUGACAAGCUCUCGCGAUAAACGAAGGAAUAGACCUUCUCCCAGGAAGACCCGAUCAGUCUCGGAAUCCCGGUACAUCAAGACAUUUCGACAAUGGUAAAACAAGACCAGCAAAGCCGCCCGAUGCGCCGACAAUCCCGAUAGGAGCUGCACAUAUCUCGUUCUCAGGGCAACACCGGAUAAGCGAAGCGUACAGGUACCGACGUAACCCAAGUUGCCAAGGGAUGGUCCCGCACGGUGCUCUAGUUUGGACCAACGCUUAGACAAGCACUGGCCCGGGGGGGGGGCUAUAAUAAAGAUGACCCUUGGGUUAAUUACUCCCAAGGGAAAAGUAGGUGGUGGUGAGGCAAAUGGUAAAAGUCAAUGUUGGGCCUUGCUGGACAAGUUUUAUUCAAAGCGAACUGUCAAGGGGGUCCCAUAAAUCACCCGACCGCGUAAGGAACGCAAAAUCCGGGAACAUAACACCGGUAUGACGGAAACUAGGGCGGCAAGAGUGGAACAAAACACCAGGCAUAAGGCCGAGCCUUCCACCCUUUACCAAGUAUAUAGAUGCAUUAAUAAUAAAAGAGAUAUUGUGAUAUCCCAACAAAACCCUGUCCACCAUGGAGCAAUCUUCAACUUCACCUGCAGCUAGCAACGCUAUAAGAGGGGCUGAGCAAAAGCGGUAACAUAGCCAAACAACGGUUUGCAUAGGAAAGGUGUCAAAGGUUAGAGGUUCAUGGCAAUAUGGGAUGGCUUGAUAAACAGGUGAUAGGCAGCGCAGCAUAGCGAUAGAGCGAAGCAACUAGCAUAGCAAUGAUAGUAGUGAGAUCCAGGGUAGCGGUCAUCUUACCUGAAAUCCCGCUAGGAAGAAGAACGAGUCCAUGAAGAAGAUGAACGGGCGUAGUCGAACGAAUCCUCACAACUCCGGAACGAAACCGAAGCUAACGAGAGAAGCAACCCGGAAAGAAACAAACAACAUAGUAAACAACCACCACAUACACAUGGCAUGCACAAACAAGUAUGAUGCAUGUCCGGUUUAAUGAAGCAUGGCAUGGCAAUAUGCACAAACAACACUACAAAUUAAGUGGAGCUCAAUAUGCAACGAGUAGCAUAUUGACGGAACACCACAUCCAUUAUUUAGUUUUCUCUCGGUUAUGCUACCAAACAAUAUUAAGUGUUGUUAAACAUGGCAAGAGGUGAAGCAUAACUAAACUAACUAUACCAUCUAAACAAUUUAAAUGGGGCCGGAUAUAAAAAACAACAAAUUCGGUAAAUCCCCAUAUGCAUUUAGCAAUUUAAUGCAACAACAAGUUUAAACAUUUUAAUUGUUAUUAUCAUGAUGCGGAUGACAUGCACAAGUUUUAUGCAAGUUUUUAAGAAAAUGUUGAUAAGAGCAUAUUAUGAAGCAUUUGCCACCGUGGUGGAAAGAAAAGGGGUGCCACGGCAACGAAUCCGAAAAUGAUGCCACGGCAACAUAUCGGUUUCGGUAGCUCACGGAGAUACCGAUGCAAAAGAGCAAAUGUGCGGAAGCAAAGGAUGGUGGGGUGAUCCCGGUUACCGGGUUCCCACGGGACGACGGCAUGACCAACAAGGCGGAACAUGCAUGAAGCAAACGGGCACGGUGCAAACAAGGAUAACUCAUUCAACACAUGCAUUCGGUCCACGGCGGUCGUUUCGGCGUUAUACCUUCGAAGCGUGCAAUCGGGGUGGAAGGCGUUUCGUAGAGGAAGUAGUCGUUCACGGGUCGACGGUAGUGGUACAGCUCGUAGACGUUCACGGGUCGUCGUGGAGGUACACGUUCGCGGGUCGUCAUGGGAAGUAGUCGUACACGGCGUAGUGGAAGUCGUUGUUCACGUGGCGAUGGUAGUUGUUCAGGGUCUUGCGGGUCGUCGUGUAGCCGUACAUGUUCGCCGUGGUACACGGUGUAGUCGUACAUAUCCCGUAGAUGUUCAGGGUCGCCGUGAGGAACUUGUCGAAACCAGGGUGCAUCUUGGCGGUCUCGUCUCGGCCUUCAACCCAAAACAAAGCAAGGCAAAAGACUCGGUGCGGUUCCGGUGGUCGAACAAGGCAGGGGCAGCUCGGUCACGCGCGCUGCGGGCGGCAGAGGAUGAAGCAGAGGAGUAGCACCGCGAGGGAGGGCAGUGACGCAGGCGAGGAGCAGCCCCCGCGGCGGAGCUCCAUGGGAGGCAACAGGCGAAGCAGCAAGGAGGAGGAACUCGGGGACGGCUUGGGCAGGGGGCGAUGCCGGUGAAGUCAACACGGGGCGGAGCGACGCGAGGUAGGAGAAGCGGGGCUUGACGGGUUCAGGCGAGGUCCAGCGACCGGGCGACGGGGCGCCUCAUCCUGGAUAAAGCAGAGGACGCCGGGCGCUGGAAGCAAGUAAACGCCAUGGGGCGUCUGGCGGCGGCGACGCUUGGCGUCAGGCAGACGAGGAGGCGGGGACGAGGCAGCAAGGCGGAAGGGUCGCGCGCAGGGUGGUGGAGGCGAGAUCCGGGCGCGGGGUCGAGGCAGAGGCGACCGGCGGGGCAGGAGCAGAGCAGGAGAGACGGCGCGGGAGGAAGGUUGGGCGCGCGGCGCGGCCGGUGCUCGAGGAGGCCGACGGCCAUGGCGUCAGGCGGAGCAAGGGAGGAGAGGGAGGCGAGCAUGGGGGGGAUCGAGGGAGAGAGGGGGUUCGAGCGAGGGAGAUGGGAUCGGGCUGAGCAAGGGGCGGUGACGGCGCUGAGGGGAAACGGGAGGGAGAGAUUGGAUCGGGGGAUCCGGCUAGGGUUAGGUUAGAGGCGGCUGGGCCUUAGAGGCCGGCCCGGGUAGGGAAGAAAAUGGCCAGAGGCCUGGCUGGGCUGCGUUGGAAAACUGCUGUCUCUUAUCUAUUUCUUCAAACAGAAAUAAAAGGACAAAAGUACGGAGUGAUUGGAGGGGGUGGUGAGAGAUAUGAAAAUAUCCUCAGGACCCUGGAAUUAUGCCCUAUUUAAGAAAAUGAUUUGGGGGAUUUUAGAGGUUGAAAAAUAAUUCAAGUUUGAAUUAAAUUCAAACUUGAGCCAUUUUAAAACCUAACCAAAACAUUUCCAAAAGAGGUGAAAUUUGGCGGUGGGGUUUAGGGCAAUAAGUUUGACUAUUUGGGAGAAAGUGAAAUUAAAGGAGAAGGGGGAAAAUGGCACUUGUAAAAAGAAGGAAGUAGAGGGAAGGAGAAGGUGGGUGAUGCGAGAUUCAUGCAUGGAACAUGCAACAACAUAAUAUGUAUGAGAAAUCACACCAUGCACAUGAUGACAUGAUGAAAUGCAAAAAUAAAAGGAGCAAGCAAAAAUGAAACACAUGGAGAGACCCGGAACCUAUGGAAGUCUUCUC